GCAAGCUUAGGCUUGUAUUAACCCGUAACCCGCGGGUUGGUCACAAGCCAGCCCCGGCCCGCCCGUUUGCCAGCUCUACUUGGGACGUGCUCUGGAUUUCCAUUUACCAUUCUAAGGAUGCUGCUGUAAGUGAAACUGGGGUUAAAAGCAGCAGUUAACUGCAGUUGGGCGACAAUGAAUUUCUUAUAAGGCCUUUGCAGCAGUCAGUGGUGGUGAACUGGUGAUUAGAGACGUAAACUAAGAAGCUAGAACUGGAGUUUGUUGUGAACGGAAAGUGGGUCUGAAAUGGUUGUGGGACGCUGGUGAUGUUGUACAAGAAUGAACGGGGUAGCCUGAACUGGGGUUAAGAGUAGAAGUUAACUGCAGUUGGGCUUAAUUGGACAUUUUAAGAGACUAGACUUGAUUGAGAUGAUGUGCCUGCGAAGAAAAGAUGGAAAAUGUGGAAAUAGUCGAGAAUUGAUGGCCGUCGUUGUGGGUACUUUGCUGGAAUCGGUUUGUUGACGGGUAAGCACCGGAACUGUAAAGUGAAACUGGUGGUGUCAUCUCAUUUAGAGUGCAGGAGGCUGUGGAGAAUUAUUGGCUCGAGUUGAUAAUAACUUCAGGUGGUAUUUGGCUUGAAUCUGUAGUAUUUGGCUUGAAUCUGUAGCUGACGAGAAUGUUGCAGUCAAAGUUAGCCGUGAACUGGCUAAUUGUAUAUAGAUUUUGAGGGUUCUUGUAUAGUUCGAGAUUAGGUUUUAAUGACAUUUCUCAAUUUUAAUAUAUACAUCAACACAUCACUGGUAGGGAGGCUACGAAUGUGUUGGUGUUGGUGUUAGUCA